rnacentral:rRNA from 1 species
GGGGGGGGGGGGGGGGGGGGGGGGGGGGGGGGGGUCGGGGGGGGGGUGCGGGUGUGGUGGCGCGGGGGUGGGUGGGGGUUGGGGACCUGCCCUUAGUUUCUGGCUACCGCCCCGAGAGGGUUGCUCCUGCCUGUUCAUGUCGUCUGGCCGAAGAUUUAUCGCCUUUGUAUGUGCCAGCGUUGGAUUAGCUAGUUGGUAGGGUAAAAGCCUACCCAGGCGACGAUCCCUCGCUGGUCUGAGAGGAUGAGCAGCCACACUGGGACUGAGACACGGCCCAGACUCCUACGGGAGGCAGCAGUGGGGAAUAUUGGACAAGGGGCGAAAGCCUGAUCCAGCAAUGCCGCGUGAGUGAUGAAGGCCUUAGGGUUGUAAAGCUCUUUUACCCGGGAUGAGAAUGACAGUACCGGGAGAACAAGCUCCGGCUAAAUCCGUG